rnacentral:lncRNA from 1 species
UUCAUAUAUAAUUAACUACCACGGAGCACAAGCAGCUUUGCUUUUCCAUGAUCAAGCUGCUAGAGAUUUUGGGGUGAGGGAGCGAAAUGAAGGCUAAAUAAAAGAACCGGAGAUAAGAUAAUCCUGCCAUGUUAAAAGGUAUGGUGUAAUAAAGAUGCCAACCUGAUUGAUCAGGAGACUGGGGUCCUAGAGUGCCGGAGUUCAACAGCUCUGCUCCUUGUUGGGACACAGUGGCUGUGGCAACGCUCUGGUCUUUGUGGAGAGAGGAGCCUGGUGUCAGCAAAGGCAGCAGGCAGAUGAGAAAAUAAGACUCCAGAAAUUACCAGCCCAUGGAUAUACAGUUAGGGGAAAUCUGAACAAAGACAGACGGAGAGGAUGCUGUGCGACAAUGGAAGCAGAGAUUGGAGUGAUACACCUACAAACAAAGGAAUCCGAAAGACUGCUGGCAAUUGCCAGAGACUAGGACAGAGGGAUGGUACAGAUUCUCCCUCAGUGCCUCCAGAAGGAACCAAUCCUGCCGAAACCUUGAUUUUGGACUUUCAGCUUCCAGAAACAGUAAAUAUACAUUGUUUUAAGCUAUCCAGUUUGUGGUGACUUGUUAUGGCAGCCCUCAGAAACCAAUACAGUAAUUUCCACAUCAUCAGUCUUGAAGAAAAAGGUUAUAGGAACAGGAGUCAACCUCUUGGAGUUUCAAUUUCCUCCCCUAUAAAUUGGGAAUGCUACUGAACACUCUUCUCUCUGGUGUAUGCAAAACUGUUGCAGGAAGAAAUGUAUCAUAAAACAUAAUGUGAAGCUACUUAAAAAUAAUAAAAAUCCACCAGAGAUGAUGUAGAAUGCAAAUAAAAAAGAUAAGGAAUUUUGAAAUUGCCUGGUGGACUAGAAAUGAAGCAAAACACAGAAAAACCUGAGAUGAAAGAUGGAGAGUGCUUAAGGGGAACUAGUACUGGCUUCCAUGCCCAGCUGCAUCACUGCCCCUUGAGCUUCCCGUGACAUCCCAAAAAACUUGCGAUUGAAGCUCCCGCUGUGCUUUAAUUCACUCCAGUUGAUGUGGUGAACAGAAAUGAGUCCAAAUGACACUAGUCCCACCCCACAACUUUCGCAACUUUACUGCUAAAAAUUAACUCAAGUGCCUUUUGGCAAAUGGAAUAUACACUGCUGAUUCUGAUAUUGUAAUCUUUAGUGACCUAUGACAUGGUUCCAUCACCGAGCUGAGGAGAAACAAACAAAACAAAAAACCCUACAUCCAUUUUUUGGUUGUUGUUGGAUACCAGAAAAGUCUCAUACAUCCUCCUUACAAUUUUUUAAAUUCCAGGUUAAACAGCUAUUACUGUUUACUUGUGAGAGUAUCAGUUAGGACUCUUUUAUGUCAAAAGUUAAUAGAAAAUCCAACUUGAGCUAGUUCACCUAAAUGGAAUGCUCACAUUAUUGGAAACCACAGAGGUAGGGCAGGCUUCAGGAAUGAUUGAUUCGGCAGCUCAAAGCUGUCAUCAAUGACCCAAUUUCUUUGUUUCUCCCUUUCUGCCAUCUGGUGUCAGCUCUGUCCUCAUGGUCACAGGACGGGUGCCAGCUACAAACAGAGUGCAGCCCAGUCUAGCAUCCCAAACAAGAGUCAUAAAAGUCACUCAAUUGGCCCAGCAUAGGUCAGAUUCCCAUUCCUAAAAGAAUAAUGUGGCUAAAUAAAUGAAAUGCACUAAUUGACCUAUCAAUCAAAGCCCACUCCAGGGGCUAGAGUGUGAUCCAUUUUACUAGACACACAUAGGCUGCACUGGCCAGGGGAGAUACCCAAACAAAGAUCAGAUAAUUUUUGGAGGAGAAACAUGUGGCAAACUAUGCUAGGUAGACAACUAAUAAAUGUCUACCACACUUGGUUCUUCCAUGUGUUACUAGAAAAUAACUUUAAAAUUCCACUUUAUUUUGUAACCAUUACAGUAAUAAUUAGUUCAGGCAAGAAUCAUCAUGCUAAACUGGUGAAUGAGAGCUUAAUGAGGAAGAAGAUAUUUAUAAAGUCUCAAAUUAUAUCCCCACAAAUGACUCAACUAAUAUUAAAGUAAAAACAUAGUAACUUUACUAUGAGAAAACCUGGUAGAGACCACCUUAACCAAGUGAUUGAAGUUAACAUCAGCUGUAAACAUCAUAAGCCUCCUGAUAAACUGCACUGAGAAGGACACAACAUCACUUUAUAGUACAUUUCACCAAAGAUGCAUAACAUGAAUCUAAUCCUAAGAAAACAUCAGACAAACUCAAUUAAGGGGCAUUCUACAAAAUAACUGACCUGUACUUUUCAGCAGUGUCACUGAUGUGAAAGACACAGAAAGGCUGAGGAAACAUUACAAAUUAAUGGAGACAAGUGAAAACUAAAGGUAGUGUGUAAUUCUGGAUCAAAAACAUAAUUGCUAUGAAGGACAGUAUGUCUAUAUCAUAGAUAGUAGUACUGCAUCAAUGUUAAAUGGUUUUGAAAAUUGUACUGUGGUCAUGUAGUGAACGUCUUUGUCCUUAGUAAAUAUACACUGAAGUGUUUAAUAAAGGAGUAUGAAGUGUGCAACAUACUCUCAAAUAGCUUGAGGAAAAAAAUGUGUAUACACACACACACACAAUCACACACAUACAGAAAAACUGUAAAGGCAAAUGUGGCAAAAUGUUAAUAAUUGGUGAAUAUGCGUGAAAGGUAUAUGGUAGUUCUUUGUACUAUUUUUGUAACUUUUCUUUAAGUUUGAAAUUACUUCAAAAUAAAAAGUUUUUUA